rnacentral:rRNA from 1 species
UACGGAGGGGCUAGCGUUUGUUCGGAAUUACUGGGCGUAAAGCGCGCGUAGGCGGCUUUGCAAGUUAGAGGUGAAAGCCCGGAGCUUAACUCCGGAACUGCCUUUAAAAACUGCAUCGCUAGAAUCGUGGAGAGGUGAGUGGAAUUCCGAGUGUAGAGGUGAAAUUCGUAGAUAUUCGGAAGAACACCAGUGGCGAAGGCGACUCACUGGACACGUAUUGACGCUGAGGUGCGAAACGUGGGGAGCAAACGG